GAUGAACGCUGGCGGCGUGCCUAAUACAUGCAAGUCGAGCGAACAGACGAGGAGCUUGCUCCUCUGACGUUAGCGGCGGACGGGUGAGUAACACGUGGAUAACCUACCUAUAAGACUGGGAUAACUUCGGGAAACCGGAGCUAAUACCGGAUAAUAUAUUGAACCGCAUGGUUCAAUAGUGAAAGACGGUUUUGAUGUCACUUAUAGAUGGAUCCGCGCCGCAUUAGCUAGUUGGUAAGGUAACGGCUUACCAAGGCGACGAUGCGUAGCCGACCUGAGAGGGUGAUCGGCCACACUGGAACUGAGACACGGUCCAGACUCCUACGGGAGGCAGCAGUAGGGAAUCUUCCGCAAUGGGCGAAAGCCUGACGGAGCAACGCCGCGUGAGUGAUGAAGGUCUUCGGAUCGUAAAACUCUGUUAUUAGGGAAGAACAAAUGUGUAAGUAACUAUGCACGUCUUGACGGUACCUAAUCAGAAAGCCACGGCUAACUACGUG
rnacentral:rRNA from 1 species